AGGUUUUAUUUACUGUCAAGUGUCCUUUAAUUUUCUCAUGAAGAACUCUCUCUAGUAUUUCUUGUAAGAGUUCUUGGGGACAGCCUGCUUGGGUUUAAAUGCCAUCUCCACCACUUAUUUAGCUGUGUGACUUUGGAUAUUAACCAAAUCUACCUUUCCUAAAGGUCAGGCCUCCCUGGCUGGCCAGCCCUCUGGUCACAUCAGAAGACCCACAACUCUCUCACACUCUAUUCCAUAUCCCAGUUGGAUACAGGUUGAAUAAAAAUGUGCUUUCUGGCCCUCACACUUAGUUUAUGUGAGUGAAUGCUGAUGGAAAUGGAGAGAGAGCACGUGAAAGAAAUAUCGAUGAGAGAAAC